rnacentral:tRNA from 1 species
GGGGAUAUAGCUUAGUGGUAGAGGGCAUGCUUAGCAUAUAUGAAGUCCUGGGUUCAAUCCCCAGUGCCUCCA